UAGUGUCCUCGUAUGGUUUUUAAUAAAUUGUACUUGGUCUUCUUUGUAAUCUCAUGUUCAAAUGAUUUUCUUUCUACUUGCCUGUAGAAGUUUCCUGUAAUGAUUACUUCACUGAAAGUGGCAUCUUGAAGAUUACAGAACUCCUACUACAAAUCCUUAGAUCCAGAUUUAAUCAAUAGAAUUCCUCCAGUUAAUUUUCUAAUGAAACAUUGAUUGCACGUUUCUUAAUUAUUGUGUCAGCUGCUGUCAAAGACCUGCACUGAAGCUGUUCAACAAGUAGAAUGGAUUUUACACUUUAAAAAAAUUUUAAUCUGCAAGACUCUUUUAUAAUGAAUUUAUACCCAACAUAACCCAACAUAAAACACAAUUAUAGCAUUUUGCAAUUAGCACCAUAGAGAUUUAAUCAAUUAAUUUUCAAGCUAGUAACAGACAGUGUACUGUUAAGUAACUUGAGUGUAAAUAAAUGUGGGAUUUCUAGUAACUGUUCUGUAAGAGUCCGAAAGACCGUGUCGCUUCUGUUCGCCCACAACAGCAACAAGGCAGUAAAUCUCCAUAGCCUUUCAAGAGCACAGCCAGAGAUGUCAGAAGCAGUGGCAAUCCAAGCAACCUCAUAUGAUGCCUGCCCUGGAGAGACCAAAAUCCCAGAGG